GAUAGAACGUAGCGAAAUGCGAUAAGUAAUGUGAAUUGCAGAAUUCAGUGAAUCAUCGAAUCUUUGAACGCACAUUGCGCCCGUCAGUAUUCUGGCGGGCAUGCCUGUUCGAGCGUCAUUACGCCCCUCAAGUCCCCUGUGGACUUGGUGUUGGGGAUCGGCGAGGCUGGUUUUCCAGCACAGCCGUCCCUUAAAUUAAUUGGCGGUCUCGCCGUGGCCCUCCUCUGCGCAGUAGUAAAACACUCGCAACAGGAGCCCGGCGCGGUCCACUGCCGUAAAACCCCCCAACUUUUUAUAGUUGACCUCGAAUCAGGUAGGACUACCCGCUGAACUUAAGCAUAUCAAUAAGCGGAGGA
rnacentral:misc_RNA from 1 species